rfam:Mycosphaerella graminicola IPO323 chromosome 7, whole genome shotgun sequence.
UUAUGAACAACGCAAAAAAACAACACUGCCGUAAAGCAUUUUCGAAUCGAGAGCCCGCCAUGCAUGCAUGGUGCGAGGCUCCAUGACGACGAAAACCGUCUGUGCUAGUGGAGAACGAGCUCAGAGGAUCUUGGGUGCCGUUGGCUUCUUUACACCGUGAAGUCGAGGGCAAUGAUCAACUGUACAG